CCUACGGGAGGCUGCAGUGAGGAAUAUUGGUCAAUGGACGAGAGUCUGAACCAGCCAAGUAGCGUGAAGGAUGACUGCCCUAUGGGUUGUAAACUUCUUUUAUAAAGGAAUAAAACGAGGCACGUGUGCCUUGUUGCAUGUACUUUAUGAAUAAGGAUCGGCUAACUCCGUGCCAGCAGCCGCGGUAAUACGGAGGAUCCGAGCGUUAUCCGGAUUUAUUGGGUUUAAAGGGAGCGUAGAUGGGUUGUUAAGUCAGUUGUGAAAGUUUGCGGCUCAACCGUAAAAUUGCAGUUGAUACUGGCAGUCUUGAGUACAGUUGAGGUAAGCGGAAUUCGUGGUGUAGCGGUGAAAUGCUUAGAUAUCACGAAGAACCCCGAUUGCGAAGGCAGCUUACUAAACUGUGACUGACAUUGAUGCUCGAAAGUGUGGGUAUCAAACAGGAUUAGAUACCCCUGUAGUC
rnacentral:rRNA from 1 species